UGCAUAUAACACUUAAUUACCAUGUACAUCUUCGAAGAAAUGAGUCCUGUAUACCCACUUGUUUCUCAGAAAGAAAAAAAUACAUGUCAACACCCAAAAAAAGGAAAAGAAUAUUAAAACAAAAGAAAAUAAAAGUUUACUGGAAGAAAGGAAUCCACAAGCAUGAUUAUGGGUUGAAGGUAAUGAGCAUUGAAGUCUCUAGUACAGAAAAUAACAGUUUUGAACAAACAUUUAUUCUUCGUAAGAGUAACAUUUAUUGUCAUACAUAGAUAUGGAAAUCCAGAUCUAUAAUUCCAACUGUAUUAAUAAUCUUAAACUGAAGCAACAAAUCUCAGUCUUCAAAUCAAAUUUGCAAGUAAGAGAAGCCAUAAGGUAAUGGUGCUCAACAACACAAUAAAAAGAAAAAAGAGAGAGAAAGCUCACCAUCAUGUUCUCUAUAGAAACACCAUUAAGCUCGAAAACCACGCUAUAUAGAAUAUCAAAUCCAUAUGUGUAAUCUUUAAUCCUCUAACUUAAUCAAACCAAAGCUGACAAAGAUGAAAAGAUAACCCACACACACAUAUAUAUAGAGAGAGAGAGGUGCAAGACGAUAUAGUAGACUUAUAGACUAUAGGUUAAUUUGCUUGAUCUAGCAAAAAAUCGGAUUCGGACCAUAAAGCUUCAAUUCCCCAAGAAGAGAAGAAGAUAGCAUGAGAAUUGAGAAGCUAUAAAGAAGAAGAUCAUCAUCACCCUUGAAAUGAAGCAAGGUAGGGUUUCUUCUUCUUGAGUGAAACCACUUUCUUUGUCUUCUAACCCUUCUCUAGGAGUUCUUUCCUCUUUCUUGAUCUUGAUUUGGUUAGUAUCAGGUUAGAGGAGGUGGAUGAUGGGUUUGAUGCGGUUGGUGGGAUGUAAAAGAUGCGGUGGUGAUGAUGACAGUGAGGGACUAAUGAUGAGAGAAAGAGGGGAGAGGACAUGAUGAUUGCUGUGUGUGUUUUUGCGUUGAAGGAAGAGAAAAAACUCUCAAACUUGGGGUUUGUUACCUAUGAAACCUAAUUCACACACAUAUAUAUACACUCCCAAUCUCUAAUCACUAGGAGAACUAUUAUAUCAGGU
rnacentral:lncRNA from 1 species